rnacentral:tRNA from 1 species
CGGGAUGUAGCGCAGCUUGGUAGCGCACCUCGUUCGGGACGAGGGGGUCGCAGGUUCGAAUCCUGUCAUCCCGAC